rnacentral:rRNA from 1 species
CCUACGGGAGGCAGCAGUGGGGAAUAUUGCACAAUGGGGGAAACCCUGAUGCAGCGACGCCGCGUGAGUGAAGAAGGAUUUCGGUAUGUAAAGCUCUAUCAGCAGGGAAGAAAAUGACGGUACCUGAGUAAGCAGCCCCGGCUCACUACGUGCCAGCAGCCGCGGUAAUACGUAGGGGGCAAGCGCUAUCCGGAUUUACUGGGUGUAAAGGGAGCGUAGACGGCAGUGCAAGUCUGGAGUGAAAGGCGGGGGCUCAACCCCCGGACUGCUCUGGAAACUGUAAGGCUGGAGUGCAGGAGAGGUAAGUGGAAUUCCUGGUGUAGCAGUGAAAUGCGUAGAUAUUAGGAGGAACACCAGUGGCGAAGGCGACUUACUGGACUGUAACUGACGUUGAGGCUCGAAAGCGUGGGGAGCAAACAGGAUUAGAUACCCUUGUAGUC